rnacentral:rRNA from 1 species
AGAGUUUGAUCCUGGCUCAGGCUGAACGCUAUCUACAGGCUUAACACAUGCAAGUCGAGGGGAAACGAUAUUGGAAGCUUGCUUCCGAUAGGCGUCGACCGGCGCACGGGUGAGUAACGCGUAUCCAACCUGCCCAUCACUUGGGAAUAACCUUGCGAAAGUAAGACUAAUGCCCAAUGACAUUUAUAGAAGGCAUCUGAAAUGAAUUAAAGAUUUAUCGGUGAUGGAUGGGGAUGCGUCUGAUUAGCUUGUUGGCGGGGUAACGGCCCACCAAGGCGACGAUCAGUAGGGGUUCUGAGAGGAAGGUCCCCCACAUUGGAACUGAGACACGGUCCAAACUCCUACGGGAGGCAGCAGUGAGGAAUAUUGGUCAAUGGGCGAGAGCCUGAACCAGCCAAGUAGCGUGCAGGAAGACGGCCCUAUGGGUUGUAAACUGCUUUUAUAGGGGAAUAAAGUGAGCCACGUGUGGUUUUUUGCAUGUACCCUAUGAAUAAGGACCGGCUAAUUCCGUGCCAGCAGCCGCGGUAAUACGGAAGGUCCGGGCGUUAUCCGGAUUUAUUGGGUUUAAAGGGAGCGUAGGCCGGAGAUUAAGCGUGUUGUGAAAUGUAGACGCUCAACGUCUGCACUGCAGCGCGAACUGGUUUCCUUGAGUACGCAUAAAGUGGGCGGAAUUCGUGGUGUAGCGGUGAAAUGCUUAGAUAUCACGAAGAACUCCGAUUGCGAAGGCAGCUCACUGGGGCGCAACUGACCAUGAAGCUCGUAAGCGCGGGUAUCGAACAGGAUUAGAUACCAUGGUAGUCCGCUCGAUAUACGAUGGAUGCCCGAAGUUGGGCCAAAUGGUUCAGCGGCCAAGCGUAAGCAUUAAGCAUCCCACGUGGGGAGUACGCCGGCAGCGGUGAGACUCGAAGGUAUUGACGGGGGACUGCACAAGCGGAGGCACAUGUGGACUAAUUGGAUGAUACGCGAGGAACUUUACCCGGGCUUGAAUUGCAGAGGAAGUAUUUGGAGACAAUGACGCCCUUCGGGGUGUUUUUGAAGGUGGUGCAUGAUUGUUGUCAGCUGGUUCCGUGAGGUGUCGGGUUAAGUUCCAUGAUGAGAGCAACCCGUCUCUAUAGUUGCCAUCAGUUGAAGUUGUGCACUUGGUGGACAGUGACACCGUCAGCUGCGAGGUAGGAGGGGUCGACAUCAAAUCAGCGCUGGCCCUUACAUUCGGGGCUAAACACGUGUAACAAUGUCAGGGACAGAGAGUCGGUCGUAUGCGAAUAAGAUCCAAUCGAUGAAGCAGGUUUCUAUUCGGAAUGGGGUCUGCGAGCCCGAUCCCACAGCGAUAGUCUGGGAUGUCAGAGUAUGUACAUAUGACUGCAUCUACGCCCAUUGGACGUCGCUAGUGAUGACGUUGCCCGUGAGCCUUUGUACACGAUCGCGCACGUCCAAGGGUCAGAACUUCUGUUGUGAACCAAUGUCAGGGAGCGAGUCUCCAUUUAGUUGAGCGCUUAUUGUGAGUCUGCAGUCUGG